rnacentral:rRNA from 1 species
GACGAACGCUGGCGGCGUGCUUAACACAUGCAAGUCGAACGGAAAGGCCCUGCUUUUGUGGGGUGCUCGAGUGGCGAACGGGUGAGUAACACGUGAGUAACCUGCCCUUGACUUUGGGAUAACUUCAGGAAACUGGGGCUAAUACCGGAUAGGAGCUCCUGCUGCAUGGUGGGGGUUGGAAAGUUUCGGCGGUUGGGGAUGGACUCGCGGCUUAUCAGCUUGUUGGUGGGGUAGUGGCUUACCAAGGCUUUGACGGGUAGCCGGCCUGAGAGGGUGACCGGCCACAGUGGGACUGAGGUACGGCCCAGACUCCUACGGGAGGCAGCAGUGGGGAAUAGUGCACAAUGGGCGGAAGCCUGAUGCAGCAACGCCGCGUGCGGGAUGACGGCCUUCGGGUUGUAAACCGCUUUCGCCUGUGACGAAGCGUGAGUGACGGUAAUGGGUAAAGAAGCACCGGCUAACUACGUG